ensembl:snoRNA SNORD116 Small nucleolar RNA SNORD116
AGAUCGAUGAUGACUCCCAAGAAACAUUCCUUGGAAAGCUGAACAAAAUGAGUGAAAACUCUAUACCAUCGUCCUCAUAUUAAAUAU